rnacentral:rRNA from 1 species
UACAGAGGUCUCAAGCGUUGUUCGGAUUCAUUGGGCGUAAAGGGUGCGUAGGUGGCGGGGUAAGUCAGGUGUGAAAUCUCGAGGCUCAACCUCGAAACUGCACUUGAUACUGCCUUGCUGGAGUACUGGAGAGGAGAUUGGAAUUUACGGUGUAGCAGUGAGAUGCGUAGAUAUCGUAAGGAAGACCAGUGGCGAAGGCGAAUCUCUGGACAGUUACUGACACUGAGGCACGAAGGCCAGGGGAGCAAACGGG